CAAUAUGAGCUAAUUUAUGUGAGCUAAUCCCCAUCAUUGACGUCCAUUUAGCCAGUUCAAUCCAAAAUGUUAGCCA
rnacentral:tRNA from 1 species